rnacentral:misc_RNA from 1 species
AACUGAUACUACCUGCGGGAACCUGCGGAGGGAUCAUUAUCGAGAUUUUUUUGCUUCAAGCAAAAAACCUCCCACCCUUGUGUAUCUUCAAAUUAAUAUCUUUGGUGAAACGAUUUUUUGAGUUUCAUCAAAAAAGCCAUUGGCAAAUUUGUUUUUGCGAAUGUGUUUUUCACCAAAGUUUUUUUCAAACUCUAAAUUUUUUUUGAAAUGUCUGUUUAUAAAAAAAAAUAAAUCAAAACU